GGUAGAGGAGCAUUGUGUGCGAGUUGAAGCGUGAUCGUAAGACACAGUGGAUUGUACACAAGAGAGAAUGUUGGCAUGAGUAGCGAAAGGGGAGUGAGAAUCUCCCCCAUCGAAAGCCUAAGGCUUCCUGAGGAAGGCUCGUCCACUCAGGGUAAGUCGGGACCUAAGCCGAGGCCAAAGGGCGUAGGCGAUGGACAACUGGUUGAAAUUCCAGUACCACCUUUAAGCGUUUGAGAGAAGGGGUGACACAGAAGGGUAAGCUAUCGCACUGAUGGAAUAGUGCGUCUAAGUAAGUAGGGAGAUAACCGAGGCAAAUCCCGGAUAUCAAUCCUGAGAUACGAAUGGGAGCGAAAAUAAGUAGUGAAGUAGCUGAGCCCAUGCUGUCAAGAAAAGCCUCUAUCGAGCAAGAAGGUGCCCGUACCGCAAACCGACACAGGUAGGCAAGGAGAGAAUCCAAAGAUGAGCGGAAGAACUAUUGUUAAGGAACUAGGCAAAAUGACCCCGUAACUUCGGGAGAAGGGGUGCCGUAGGGAGUGAAGAUUGAACAAUCGGAGCACAAUACGGCCACAGAAAACAGGCCCAAGCGACUGUUUAGCAAAAACACAGGUCUCUGCUAAAUCGAAAGAUGAAGUAUAGGGGCUGACACCUGCCCGGUGCUGGAAGGUUAAGGGGAGAAGUUACCCCGCACUCAAUUCUGUAUAUAAUUUAAGAAACAAUUUUAAAAAGAAUGAGAUAGAUUGUAUAUGGAAUUGAGUGCGGGGGACGCUUUGAACUUAAGCCCCAGUAAACGGCGGCCGUAACUAUAACGGUCCUAAGGUAGCGAAAUUCCUUGUCGGGUAAGUUCCGACCCGCACGAAAGGUGUAACGAUUUGGGCACUGUCUCAACAAUAGAUCCGGUGAAAUUGUAGUACUCGUGAAGAUGCGAGUUACCCGCGGCAGGACGGAAAGACCCCAUGGAGCUUUACUGCAGGCUGACAUUGGAAUUCGGUAGCAAUUGUACAGAAUAGGUGGGAGACUGAGAAGCCAGUACGCCAGUAUUGGUGGAGUCGCCUUUGGGAUACCACUCUAUUGUUACUGAAUUUCUAACAUGAUACCGUAAGCCGGUAUAUGGACACUGUCAGUUGGGCAGUUUGACUGGGGCGGUCGCCUCCGAAAGAGUAACGGAGGCGCUCAAAGGUUCCCUCAGCACGGUCGGAAAUCGUGCGAAGAGUGUAAAGGCAGAAGGGAGCUUGACUGCGAGAUAGACAUAUCGAGCAGGAACGAAAGUUGGACUUAGUGAUCCGGUGGCACCGAGUGGAAAGGCCAUCGCUUAACGGAUAAAAGCUACCCUGGGGAUAACAGGCUUAUCUCCCCCAAGAGUCCACAUCGACGGGGAGGUUUGGCACCUCGAUGUCGGCUCGUCUCAUCCUGGGGCUGAAGCAGGUCCCAAGGGUUGGGCUGUUCGCCCAUUAAAGAGGCACGCGAGCUGGGUUCAGAACGUCGUGAGACAGUUCGGUCCCUAUCCGCCGUGGGCGCAGGAAAUUUGAAGGGAGCUGUUCCUAGUACGAGAGGACCGGAAUGGACAGACCGCCGGUGAAUCAGUUGUCACGCCAGUGGCAUGGCUGAGUAGCUGAGUCUGGUUAAGAUAAGCGCUGAAAGCAUCUAAGCGCGAAACGUACCCUAAGAUAAGAUUUCCCAUCACUUUAAGUGAGUAAGACCCCUGAUAUGUUAACAGGUUGAUAGGUCGCAUGUGUAAGUGCAGCAAUGCAUUCAGCUGAGCGAUACUAAUAGGUCGAGGUCUUGACC
rnacentral:rRNA from 1 species